GAUGAACGCUGGCGGCGUGCCUAAUACAUGCAAGUCGAGCGAACGGACGAGAAGCUUGCUUCUCUGAUGUUAGCGGCGGACGGGUGAGUAACACGUGGAUAGCCUACCUAUAAGACUGGGAUAACUUCGGGAAACCGGAGCUAAUACCGGAUAAUAUUUUGAACCGCAUGGUUCAAAAGUGAAGGACGGUCUUGCUGUCACUUAUAGAUGGAUCCGCGCUGCAUUAGCUAGUUGGUAAGGUAACGGCUUACCAAGGCAACGAUGCAUAGCCGACCUGAGAGGGUGAUCGGCCACACUGGAACUGAGACACGGUCCAGACUCCUACGGGAGGCAGCAGUAGGGAAUCUUCCGCAAUGGGCGAAAGCCUGACGGAGCAACGCCGCGUGAGUGAUGAAGGUCUUCGGAUCGUAAAACUCUGUUAUUAGGGAAGAACAUAUGUGUAAGUAACUGUGCACAUCUUGACGGUACCUAAUCAGAAAGCCACGGCUAACUACGUG
rnacentral:rRNA from 1 species